GUGGCGGACGGGUGAGUAACGCGUGGGAAACCUGCCCUGUACCGGGGGAUAACACUUAGAAAUAGGUGCUAAUACCGCAUAAGCGCACAGCCUCACAUGAGGCAGUGUGAAAAACUCCGGUGGUACAGGAUGGUCCCGCGUCUGAUUAGCCAGUUGGCAGGGUAACGGCCUACCAAAGCGACGAUCAGUAGCCGGCCUGAGAGGGUGAACGGCCACAUUGGGACUGAGACACGGCCCAAACUCCUACGGGAGGCAGCAUG
rnacentral:rRNA from 1 species